GGCUGUCCCCAUUGGGAUCUUUUAAGAUGAUCCUGGUGGUCUCCAGGUCACCUUUAAUAUAAACCAUUGCACUGACACAUCAGGGAGUACUUGAACAAGGCCCCUUAACAUCCACCCCUCCUCCUUCAGCGUACCUCUCCUGUCAUCCGCCUGCCUGAGCCCAGCUAGUAGGGGUUUGAAUGAGAGCUUAGUUUUAAGGAUAAACACAUCCAUCACAAAGCUGCUCGGCAUACGCCAGUGCUGGCACUCUCAACCCCUCUCUGAAACCCCUUUUGAGGACUCUCAGUCCAGAGCCCGCAUCUCCGCUCCACUCUCCAACCUGCUUUUUCAGCACUCCCAAGCCUAAUCCCACAGUUUACCGGGAACGCUGAGAGAUGCAGGAAAACAAGGGGCGCUUUAACCCACUUUCAUAGCUUUAAUCCCCUCCCAGCUCAGUGUAUUUAACUUGGGCACAGUUCUGAAACAAAAGGUAUAGAGACUCCAAGUUGUUGGGCAGGGGGAGGGAAAAAAAGUUGGGUUGAUUUUGAGAGCCCUGGAAGAUCAUUAAAAUUUCAAAACCGGCAGAAAAAAAAAAAAAAAAAAAAAAAAAAAAAGUUGUUUGCUUAUAAGGUCUCUAGUGUUUAAAGAGCUAGAGACAAAACUGCCGAGCAGUAUAUUCCAGUUUAUCCUGUGGAAUAGGAAGGAAUGGCCCCAGACGUAAUUACAAAAAGCUUCUGGGAUUUGCAACCUGGACAGCUGGCGAUACACAGGGAUCCCACUCCUGAUGUACAAAUGGGAGCUGGCACAGAUGCACUCCUUUCGCUGAGCUCCUGAUGGCAAACUGUUCCAAAGAGGCUGGAGGUGUUGGGGUGAACUGUGAUGGACCAUUUCCAGGCAUGAAUCCAGCACCAUGGAAUUCCCACUACGUUCCCACCCCAAUACAGAAAACUGCUUGCUCGGAGAUGCAGUUUGUAUCCCCUCUGCUACAACACUCAUAAAUAGAGACCAUUUUAUCUACAGGUUUUCAUAUCCUGAAGAAAAUGAUCACUGGCCAUAACAAACAUAUCUUUCAGUAGUUCUGCUGAGGGCGCAACAGUCCAAGUCUUCAGCAUGGCAUUGAAAUGCAUACUGCAGGCUAGGAGCCAUAGAUAUGUCCUUAUUCUUCCAUUUAUCCUUUACACUUGAUCCUGACCCAGUCAGUCAUAUGUUGUUCUUUCUGGAGGGCGGCAACCCAGAAAAUGCCAAAUCUCUGACUUAUUUGUGGUUAAGAAAAUGACCCCUGCCUGAUCUGAAAGCUCCCCUCCUUUUCAUUACAGUACCUGCCAAAAACCUUAAACUCUCCAAAACUUCCCUCAGCCCUGGAGUUGUUAUUGCAGCUCCAGCACCCCUGGUAAGCCCCUUGUCCUUAAGCAUGUGAUGGAGAAGACAACGCCUGCCUUACCACAGCCACUAUCUUCAUCAGAGCCAGGGCAGAGGAUGGGGCUGAAGCUGCUGAAUGAGGUCGUAACAGAUUGGAGAGCAGAUAUAAAACCAAUUCCUCCAAAUUCAGUGGAGAGGCAGCCUGCCCUUUCUUACUCCCAGUGUAGUCUUUUCUCUUUGACAAUUUGCUGAAAGGGCCUCCAUUGUGUGUUACUUAACACGUGUGAAUUUAUUGCAAGCUGAUGCUUUCUGUUUUACAUCUCAGUGGCACAAGCAGAAGAACAAUUCACCCCAGAUCUCUGACUCCACACUGCAUCCAGACGUGGUAAAGCUCUGAAAGGCACUGAUGCAGAAGAUCCCUGCUCGUCCUGGCCUAAUCCUGAAUGAUACUGACACCCACUGACUUUUCCUUGUAACAGAUGCUUAGGAAAAAUGAGAGAAAUUGAAUAAAUAGUACAAAAAAAAAAAAAAAAAAAAAAAAAAAAAAGAGGUUUAUUUCCAAAACACAGCUUAAAAUACCAGACACCACAGCGUUGGGUGGGGAAGAUUGCAUACAGCAUUAACCACAUUCCUUGUGUGCAAGUCCGCUUGUCCUGAGUUUAUUCCCCUACUGUUUGCCCAGUGGAGAAUAAGGAGAAAGAGAAAGAAUAAACCUUUCCCAGGGAGGAAUAAAAUUCAAAUCUCAGCUUAUCAAACUCAGUGGAGGAACAAGGAGUGAUGGUGCCUUCUAGACAGAUACUCCCCAGAUAUUCAUCAAACCUGUGCUGUUGUGUUGCCUUGGCACCAUCUGGCCAGGACAGUGCAAAUGGGGACACUCAGGGCACCCUGUCCCUCCUGUCCUCCCCACCGAGCAGUUGCUGAGCUGUGUUGCGCUAUAGCGAAGGCUUUUUUUCAGCUGGACAGCAGGCAAUCCACCACAGGGCGUCCAUAUCCUAAUGCUUCCCUUGCCCUUUACCUUGUUUAGCCCUUUUGCCAUAAUGAAAUAAUGUUCACAAUGGCAAGAACACAAAAUAGCUCAUGAUAUGCUUCAAACUGUGAGAAAAGAGUAUCCGAUCCUCCCCAAACACAGACCUGCUCACUUCAAAGGCGGCAAUAUUUAGACAGUAAUCAACAUCGCGUUUUAUUCCCUUUCCUGACCCAACGUGUAUAUUUGCUCAGCCACUCUUUCCACCCAUCCAGAAAAUCUGCCGUGUCCAAAACACACGUGGAGCUGAACAGAGGCUCCAGACAAUGCCGGACAAAGCAGUCCCAGGGAUGGUCCCAAUGGCCUGGCUGCUAUAGGGCUGCAAGCCCUGCCACCCCCACAGCACAAGAUUUGUUCCUGGGUUGCUUUAUUUAUGGAUGCAACCCAUAAUGCAUUCUCCCACCUAAGUGAGAAACUUCCUCCUUGCCUUAGAGAUGGUGAAAUAGGAGCAAGCAAGACGGCAAAAUGGGAAAAAAAAACAAAAAACAACAACAACAACAACAACAACAACAACAACAACAACAAAAAAACAGUCUCAAAGUGAGAUCUACAACCCCCAGGAGGCAGAAGAUAUCCCUCGUGCCAUUCCCAUGCUGAUUUCAAUGUGUGAUACAUCUCAGAACAACUGACUGGGGAGAAGUGAGUUUCUUCAGCUCUCAGAUAUUGUGAUAAAUGUUUAAUAAAGAAUCAGAUUAAAACUGAA